rnacentral:rRNA from 1 species
GACGAACGCUGGCGGCGUGCUUAACACAUGCAAGUCGAACGAAGUGGCGAACGGGUGAGUAAUACGUGGGUAACCUUCCCUCCUUUUUGGAAUAAGCCUUGGAAACGGGGUCUAAUACCGACUAAGGGGGGGUGGGCUCGCGGCCUAUCAGCUUGUUGGUGGGGUGAUGGCCUACCAAGGCGGUGACGGGUAGCCGGCCUGUGAGGGUGACCGGGCAUAUGGGGCGGGAGAUACGGCUCAGACGCGUACCGGUGGCAGAAGUGGGGGAUAUGGCACAAGGGUGGAAAGGCUGAUGCAGGUAAGCGGCGGUGGUGAUGAAGGCGUACGGGUUGUUAACCUCUGACGAAAUCGAACGGGUAGGUGGAGAAGAAGCGCCGGCUAACUACGUGCCAGCAGCCGCGGUAAUUC